rnacentral:rRNA from 1 species
UACGUAGGGUGCGAGCGUUAAUCGGAAUUACUGGGCGUAAAGUGUGCGCAGGCGGCAGAGCAAGUCGAGUGUGAAAGCCCCGGGCUUAACUUGGGAAUUGCGCUCGAAACUACUUUGCUGGAGUGUGGCAGAGGAAGGUGGAAUUCCACGUGUAGCGGUGAAAUGCGUAGAGAUGUGGAGGAACACCAAUGGCGAAGACAGCCUUCUGGGCCAACACUGACGCUCAUGCACGAAAGCGUGGGGAGCAAACAGG